UACGUAGGGACCAAGCGUUGUUCGGAAUUAUUGGGCGUAAAGCGCGUGUAGGCGGCAUGGCAAGUCGGGUGUGAAAGCCCUCAGCUUAACUGAGGAAGUGCGCCCGAAACUGCCGUGCUUGAGUGCCGGAGAGGGUGGCGGAAUUCCCCAAGUAGAGGUGAAAUUCGUAGAUAUGGGGAGGAACACCGGUGGCGAAGGCGGCCACCUGGACGGUAACUGACGCUGAGACGCGAAAGCGUGGGGAGCAAACAGG
rnacentral:rRNA from 1 species